GUCUAGGGGAUCUUUGGCCAUAUAGGCCGAUCUCCUAGUUGUGAUGUUNNNNNNNNNNNNGAUAUUAUUGUUUAGUUAUUAGUACUCAGGGUCUUAGGCCAUAUAGGCCGGACUACUGGUACUAUUGGUUUGUGUUGUAGAGUCGAGUGUCUUGUUAGUGUCUAGAACUUUAUCAUUACGUUAGGUUCUAGAUUGAGUUUGUGUUGUGUGAGUGGUGCCAAUAGUAUGUGCGUAACCCGCCCAUACUAGGCUUGUGUUGGGGUGAUUAGUGUUUCCUCGUCCUCGUACCCAGCGGGUUCAAGGAAACCUCUUAUUCGCUGGAUCGGGAAGACUCAGACGAACGGGGUCAUGUCCUAUGGCUGAGUAUUAUACGACGGUGUAAUGCGGCAGUGACCCGAAGGACUGUGGGCUGUCGCGCGGUGACCCGAAGGACUGUGGGCCGCGGUCGGUUGAAAGUUCCUUCUUCUGGCCUCUGUGGUAGGAAGAUAGGAUAUUGCCGAUAGAGAGGAUGAACACAAAGUCACCAGGGCCCAGGUUAGAGUGUUGUGUUAGUGUGUCGUAGAGGGUUAUGGAACCCUCGAGUUAAUGUAGCACCGAUAUACGGUGUUACGAGUAAGAUCGAGUCAUUAGUAGUUAUUAUCUUAUUAUUGUUGUGGUUGUGGUUGUUGAUUGCUUUGCUUGCAGGUUCUGACAUUAAGUCCUAAGUCUGGUUUAGGUACCAGACUAGGCUUGGUGUGUAUUUGGUUAGUGUAGGCCUGACGUUGGCCUGUAUGUGUUUGAAGGAUUGCUUGUGAAGGGUGGUGGAUAUUAAAGCUAUGCGGUAUCAUUGGUUGGCCGAUCAUGUUCUUGUUUGAUUGUUGGUCGACCGGCUCAUGAUACUUGUAUAGUCUAAGUGUCUAACACUACAUGAGUAUUGAACUCAAGCAUAUAUAUGGUUAACUAGGGAUUGGUUGUUGACUUGUUUUAAUGCAGGUUCCCGUUACUUGAAGCUAGAUUAUGGCAGGAGGCCAAGUCUACCUUAGUAACGGUUUGCUUAGCCUUAGAUUUUAUUGCAUGCUAGGGCUAGAUUAUUGUUAUUUUGGGUUGUCUGGGUUAGAGUCUAGCUUGCGGAUAGAGGCCGCCAGCUCACUGAGUAAUACUAGAUUACUCAUCCAACUCCAUUGUCUUUUUUGCAGGUCGCUUUAGGUA
rnacentral:lncRNA from 1 species